rnacentral:lncRNA from 1 species
AAAAUCAAAUUCUUGUAGAUAAACCAUAUAAUCAUUUGGAAUGGCAGAUCUUCUUUCUCUUUGAGAUCUCCUUAAUGUCAUCCCUUGUGGUUCUUCUACAACUUGUUCAGUGGUGAUAACUUCAUUAUGGAGUGUUUGAUCAUUAAUUUGUUGUUCAUUGUUAUUAAACUGUGUGACAACUGUAGGAACAACAAUUUUCUUAGAAGUCAUGGGUAAAGGGACUUGCACCCUAA